CCGUCGCGACUAGUACCUGGGGUAAGUUUUCCUGAAGCUUAUCGGAACGUGUAGUUCUGUUGCCUCCUGCCAAAAGUCUGAACAGGAGUCGCCGGAAGUACGGUAGCUUGCCGGAAAUCCUCGCCGGGAAAAUAAGGCACCUGAUUGGAGAAUCUCUUAGACAAACAAGCAGUAAAGCUCAGCAAUUCCAGAAUAAAAUAGCAAAAUCAGCGGAAAUCGAGCGGCAAAUCCACGGCUCUUUAAUAGCUUGAAAUCACUGAUUACUCAAGUGCCAACUAAAGGACAAGAGAACGAAGAUGAAGCUCAGCGGAUCCACAGUACAGCAGCAAAACCAGCAAACUUGUAAUUCAAAAUAGCCUUCGAAAACCAAUUUAAUGACUCCUUUCAAUUCAAACAAUAAAAGAAACUCAAAACCCAAAAUGGGUUUGAUUCAAAAACCGAUCUUUUAACAGAAAAGUCCAAGAAUUUGCAGGAAAAAAAAUUGGGUUGAAAUAAUAGUAACUAAAAUUUAAAGAACCCCACUUUCUGAGAAUAGCUCAAUUAAUCAGAACUUUCUAAAGGGAGGGGGGAGGGGAGGAAUACGCUCACAAGAUUAGGGAGAGCUGAGCUGGGGUAGAGAGCAUAGAGGGAGAGCAUCAACUGUUUCCCGAUAAUAAACUAAACCUUCUUGCUUAACCCUAAAGUUGAUUGUAAUAUGUUUUACAAAAGGCAUGAACUGAUAUCGCCCAAGCUUGGACCUGCUAUCAUCUUCUCAAAAUCUAAGGAGUUACACUUCUAAGUUAUAUUUUUAGACCCUCCAAGCAGUUAGGAUACAUCAUUGCAUACUUUUAAUCACAAAAUAUGACAUACAGAUUCGAUUUAAGAAGCCCAAUAGCAUUUAAAUAAAAAAAAAGUAUUUUUGCAGAAAACAGCUGAAAUCGUACUCUCACGAAAAGAAUAGAUAUAAAUGACCAUUAAUAAUAUUUUAUCGCCCAAGUAGUUAGAACACAAAAUUGUAUAUCCAAGAAGAGAGACAUAACCAUGGUUAAAUUAGUUAUUUAAGUAAAUAGAUCUUGUCCGUCAAUAAGUUAGCAGAACACGUGUCAAAGGAUGAAAAUCCUAUUGAAGGAUACUGGAGCAAUCUUUACCCGAGGGAUUCUCAUCCAUAAAGAACCCUUGUGUGAAUCUCCUUCUAUCUUUCAUUAAUAGAAUAAUCAACCUAAAUGACUGCUCGCUGCCAGAAUCCAUAUGUGUUUUUUGGACUCAAAAUAAUAUUUUAGGUGGAAGAAAAAAUAGUUAUCAUUUUAUGUAAAACACGGUUAUAAA
rnacentral:lncRNA from 1 species